AUCAUGAAAGGAGUGUUUCCUUUAUGACAAAGUCUUAAAUGGAAUGAUCUCUUUUCUCAAAACAAAAAAAAAUGGAAUAAUAUCAUGUAGUAGUUCUUGGCAUGCUAUUGUUGCAUGGUGUCUGAUUCGGAUGCUAUAUAUUCUGCAGUGGUGAAAUCCUUAUCUUUCUCUUAGUUUUCAUUUAAUUGCGUAAAGAAAGACAUUUUGUUACUGAUAUGUUUACUUUAGUUGAAACUUAUUUUGGUAGGUAAAUUUACAAUCGGCAUCAAGAGGAAAAAGUUGAUUGAUUAGAACUUAUGCAAGUAAUACUCAUAGCUCACAUUACAUGUUCUCUUUUAUACAACUUCUUCCUCUUCUUCUUUUCUUUUCUUUUCUUUUUUUCUUUUUUUUUUUUUGAGAGAGCGAGCAUUUUUAUUUCUUAUUUCUUUCCUCCAUUGGAGGAAUUGAGAAAUGGGUUGGAGAGAGCUUCCUUCAGUCCAGUCACGGAUGGUUCUGGGGUUGGAAUCAGCUGCCGACUCAUUCACUCAAACACUCAGUAGAAAUUAUAGCACCACUUUACUCGAGCUCACCAACAGAAACGGAAGAACUUUUGUGCUACUAUGUGAAUGAGUGAAUGAUGCGGGAGCUAUUCCUUCCUUUCCAUUCCAUGCUUGGACUGAAGGGAGCUCCCUCUUUCUCCUCUUUGAAACCUUCCGUUUUUUCUUUCUUCCAUGCAAAUCGCGCCUGCUUCUCUUUUUCUCAGUACUCUAUUGAUUUAGUGUUUUAUCAUAUUCUAUUGCCUACUUUGGUGCCUCUUUUCUUCAUCCUCUCUUCUGAAGUAACUAGCUUCUGUUGGUGGAUGUUUUUUCCAAUGUAUCUAACAUCAUGUCAUCAGUUGCCCCAGAAGAAAAGACAUUUACAAGGAGGAGGGAAAGAAAAUGUAUUACAAGGAGAGAGAGAGAGAGAGAGAGAGAGAGAGAUGUAAAAUGAGAUCUUACAAGAGGAACUAGGUUCCUGGAUUAGGCAUCCAAGGACUAAGAAGGUUAACAAGUGGUUGGUGACUCUCUUUUCCUUUGCCACAAGAAGAAACCCAAAGAUCUUACUCAUUUUUACUGGAGGGUCCAGCUGAUUCUUAACUUUAUGGAUUCUAAUUACAUGCCUUUUGUUCGAAGUUAUGUAUAGCAUGAAUCCAAUUCUUUCUACAGGCUCUCUCUGGAAUACCCUAUUUCUUAUUAAAGGAAUGAUAUUAUACUCUUCUCUAAUCUCAGUCAAGCUCACAGGCAACCUCCCAGGAAGUCAGCAAAGAGUUUAAAAAGAAGUCUUGCUUCCCCACCUGGGUGUGUUUCGCGUCUUUAUUUUGUUGUCUGGAAAAGGUUGAGGAAGGACCGAGUUACUGCUCUAAUCUACAGUGAAAGUACCAUCACCUCAGGGCUAUGACUUUGUUGAUCUUGAGCUGAUUCCCUUGUUUUUUGGCUGAUACCUAUGCUGCGUAAAGUUCUUUGAGAUUUGAUGAAAAAUGCUUUUCUUUCACAUAUCUAUACAUGGAUGCACUCCUGCCGAUGCGCCCCUCACUUGCCAUUGCUCUCUCUUGAACAUUGCCUUGAAAGUUGAGAACACAAAGGGUUGAUUUCUUGUGUAAAUUAUGUGGUGAAAGUACAGAUCAACAGGUUAUUUUACUUUAUGCUGAGAGUACGUGCUGUAUAAUGUAUCAGGUUCCCUUUAAAGCCCGUGUACAAGUAUAUUUUUUAAUUGCAGUAUGCUGUUGGGUGUCUGUCUAAUUGAAAAGAGAUUAGCUUAGUUUCUUGGAGACCAUGUUUUGUAUUCUACUAUUCUGCUUUUUAGAUAAGAAAUGGGGUCAUUUAGGGUAAGGGACUGCCAAGUAUGGAUGAGGUCUCUAUGAAAAGCCUGGUGGAGAUAGGGUGCCUAUAUAAAAGGCAUGCCAUUUAUAUAUGGAAGCUUCUCUGGAAGAGGAGGGUUUAUUAGCCCAUGUUUUGCCUUGUACUUUAAGGAUUUUCUACGUUUACA